rnacentral:tRNA from 1 species
CGGGAAGUAGCGUAAUUUGGUUAUCGCGCCUGCUUUGGGAGCAGGAGGCUGUGGGUUCAAAUCCCGCCUUCCCGA